rnacentral:rRNA from 1 species
UACAGAGGGUGCGAGCGUUAAUCGGAAUUACUGGGCGUAAAGGGCGCGUAGGUGGUUUAUUAGGAUGGAUGUGAAAUCCCUGGGCUUAACCUAGGAACUGCAUCGAUGACUGAUAAGCUAGAGUACUGUAGAGGGUAGUGGAAUUUCCGGUGUAGCGGUGAAAUGCGUAGAGAUCGGAAGGAACACCGGUGGCGAAGGCGGCUACCUGGACAGCUACUGACACUGAGGCGCGAGAGCGUGGGGAGCAAACAGG